UUCCUAGCGUUGCUAGGAGAUGACGAGCGGCGGACGGGUGAGUAAUGCUUGGGAAUAUGCCUUAUGGUGGGGGACAACAGUUGGAAACUACUGCUAAUACCGCAUAACGUCUACGGACCAAAGGAGGGGAUCUUCGGACCUUUCGCCAUUUGAUUAGCCCAAGUGAGAUUAGCUAGUUGGUGAGGUAAUGGCUCACCAAGGCGACGAUCUCUAGCUGGUUUGAGAGGAUGAUCAGCCACACUGGGACUGAGACACGGCCCAGACUCCUACGGGAGGCAGCAGUGGGGAAUAUUGCACAAUGGGCGAAAGCCUGAUGCAGCCAUGCCGCGUGUGUGAAGAAGGCCUUCGGGUUGUAAAGCACUUUCAGUUGUGAGGAAAGGGAUGUAGUUAAUAACUGCAUUCUGUGACGUUAACAACAGAAGAAGCACCGGCUAUCUUCGUGUCAUCAGCCGCGGUAAUACGAGGGGUGCAAGCGUUAAUCGGAAUUACUGGGCGUAA
rnacentral:rRNA from 1 species